GAUGAACGCUAGCGGCAGGCUUAAUACAUGCAAGUCGAGGGACAGCACAGGUAGCAAUACUGGGUGGUAACCGGCAAACGGGUGCGGAACACGUACACAACCUUCCUUUAAGUGGGGGAUAGCCCAGAGAAAUUUGGAUUAAUACCCCGUAAUAUAGUUGAAUGGCAUCAUUUGAUUAUUAUAGCUACGGCGCUUAAUGAUGGGUGUGCGGCUGAUUAGAUAGUUGGCGGGGUAACGGCCCACCAAGUCUACGAUCAGUAGCUGAUGUGAGAGCAUGAUCAGCCAAACGGGAACUGAGCCACGGGCCCGACUCCUACGGGAGGCAGCAGUAAGGAAGAUUGGUCAAUGGACGCAAGUCUGAACCAGCCAUGCCGCGUGAAGGAUUAAGGUCCUCUGGAUUGUAAACUUCUUUUAUUUGGGACGAAAAAGGGCCUUUCUAGGUCAACUGACGGUACCAGAUGAAUAAGCACCGGCUAACUCCGUGCCAGCAGCCGCCGUAAUAC
rnacentral:rRNA from 1 species